UACGGAGGGGGCUAGCGUUGUUCGGAAUUACUGGGCGUAAAGCGCACGUAGGCGGCUUUGUAAGUCAGAGGUGAAAGCCCGGGGCUCAACUCCGGAAUUGCCUUUGAGACUGCAUCGCUUGAAUCCAGGAGAGGUGAGUGGAAUUCCGAGUGUAGAGGUGAAAUUCGUAGAUAUUCGGAAGAACACCAGUGGCGAAGGCGGCUCACUGGACUGGUAUUGACGCUGAGGUGCGAAAGCGUGGGGAGCAAACAGG
rnacentral:rRNA from 1 species